UACGGGGGGUGCAAGCGUUGUCCGGAAUCACUGGGCGUAAAGGGUGCGUAGGCGGGCAGGUAAGUCCGUGGUGAAAUCUCUGAGCUUAACUCAGAAACUGCCAUGGAUACUAUUUGUCUUGAAUAUUGUGGAGGUAAGCGGAAUAUGUCAUGUAGCGGUGAAAUGCUUAGAUAUGACAUAGAACACCAAUUGCGAAGGCAGCUUACUACACAGUUAUUGACGCUGAGGCACGAAAGCGUGGGGAUCAAACAGG
rnacentral:rRNA from 1 species